UACGGGGGGGGCAAGCGUUGUUCGGAAUUACUGGGCGUAAAGGGCGCGUAGGCGGCCUACUAAGUCGGACGUGAAAUCCCUCGGCUCAACCGAGGAACUGCGUCCGAUACUGGCAGGCUGGAAUCCGGGAGAGGGAUGUGGAAUUCCAGGUGUAGCGGUGAAAUGCGUAGAUAUCUGGAGGAACACCGGUGGCGAAGGCGGCAUCCUGGGCCGGUAUUGACGCUGAGGAGCGAAAGCCAGGGGAGCAAACGGG
rnacentral:rRNA from 1 species